GCUCCCCCAUGGUAAUGAGGAGAGAGAGAAGAUCUCAGGACCUCAGAUUGGCCUCACAGUGGCCUUUCUUUCCUUGAGGGGUGCAACAAGC